rnacentral:piRNA from 1 species
UCAUCAUUUGUCAGGGUUCAGUUGUAGGGA